rnacentral:rRNA from 1 species
AUGCACGCUGGCGGCGUGCCUCAUCCAUGCAAGUCGCGCGCACAGACGAGGAGCUUGCUCCUCUGACGUUAGCGGCGGACGGGUGAGUAACACGUGGAUAACCUACCUAUAAGACUGGGAUAACUUCGGGAAACCGGAGCUAAUACCGGAUAAUAUAUUGAACCGCAUGGUUCAAUAGUGAAAGACGGUUUUGCUGUCACUUAUAGAUGGAUCCGCGCCGCAUUAGCUAGUUGGUAAGGUAACGGCUUACCAAGGCAACGAUGCGUAGCCGACCUGAGAGGGUGAUCGGCCACACUGGAACUGAGACACGGUCCAGACUCCUACGGGAGGCAGCAGUAGGGAAUCUUCCGCAAUGGGCGAAAGCCUGACGGAGCAACGCCGCGUGAGUGAUGAAGGUCUUCGGAUCGUAAAACUCUGUUAUUAGGGAAGAACAAAUGUGUAAGUAACUAUGCACGUCUUGACGGUACCUAAUCAGAAAGCCACGGCUAACUACGUG